rnacentral:rRNA from 1 species
ACGGGCAGACUUGAGUACUGCAGGGGAGACUGGAAUUCCUGGUGUAGCGGUGGAAUGCGCAGAUAUCAGGAGGAACACCGGUGGCGAAGGCGGGUCUCUGGGCAGUAACUGACGCUGAGGAGCGAAAGCGUGGGGAGCGAACAGGAUUAGAUACCCUGGUAGUCCACGCCGUAAACGGUGGGUACUAGGUGUGGGUUUCCUUCCUUGGGAUCCGUGCCGUAGCUAACGCAUUAAGUACCCCGCCUGGGGAGUACGGCCGCAAGGCUAAAACUCAAAGAAAUUGACGGGGGCCCGCACAAGCGGCGGAGCAUGUGGAUUAAUUCGAUGCAACGCGAAGAACCUUACCUGGGUUUGACAUGCACAAGGACGCCGGCAGAGAUGUCGGUUCCCUUGUGGCCUGUGUGCAGGUGGUGCAUGGCUGUCGUCAGCUCGUGUCGUGAGAUGUUGGGUUAAGUCCCGCAACGAGCGCGACCAUUGUCUCAUGUUGCCAGCGGGUAAUGCCGGGGACUCGUGAGAGACUGCCGGGGUCAACUCGGAGGAAGGUGGGGAUGACGUCAAGUCAUCAUGCCCCUUAUGUCCAGGGCUUCACACAUGCUACAAUGGCCGGUACAAAGGGCUGCGAUGCCGCGAGGUUAAGCGAAUCCUUUUAAAG